rnacentral:rRNA from 1 species
CGGGGGGCAGCAGUGAGGAAUAUUGGUCAAUGGGCGCGAGCCUGAACCAGCCAUCCCGCGUGCAGGAAGAAUGCCCUAUGGGUUGUAAACUGCUUUUUCGCAUGAAGAACACUCCGGACGUGUCUGGAGCUGACGGUAGUGCGUGAAUAAGCACCGGCUAACUCCGUGCCAGCAGCCGCGGUAAUACGGAGGGUGCAAGCGUUAUCCGGAUUUAUUGGGUUUAAAGGGUGCGUAGGCGGCAUUUUAAGUCAGUGGUGAAAUCCUGCAGCUUAACUGUAGAACAGCCAUUGAAACUGAAGUACUUGAGUAAUCUUGAAGUAGGCGGAAUGUGUAGUGUAGCGGUGAAAUGCUUAGAUAUUACACAGAACACCGAUUGCGAAGGCAGCUUACUAAGGAUUUACUGACGCUGAUGCACGAAAGCGUGGGGAUCAAACAGGAUUAGAUACCCCGGU